UACGUAGGGGGCUAGCGCUGUCCGGAAUCAUUGGGCGUAAAGCGCGCGCAGGCGGUCUUUUAAGUCUGAUGUGAAAGCCCACGGCUCAACCGUGGAGGGUCAUUGGAAACUGGAAGACUUGAGUGCAGAAGAGAAGAGCGGAAUUCCACGUGUAGCGGUGAAAUGCGUAGAGAUGUGGAGGAACACCAGUGGCGAAGGCGGCUCUUUGGUCUGUAACUGACGCUGAGGCGCGAAAGCGUGGGGAGCAAACAGG
rnacentral:rRNA from 1 species